GACGGAGGAUGCAAGUGUUAUCCGGAAUCACUGGGCGCAAAGCGUCUGUAGGUGGUUCAAUAAGUCAACUGUUAAAUCUUGAGGCUCAACUUCAAAAAUCGCAGUCGAAACUAUUGGACUCGAGUAUAGUAGGGGUAAAGGGAAUUUCCAGUGGAGCGGUGAAAUGCGUAGAGAUUGGAAAGAACACCAAUGGCGAAAGCACUUUACUGGGCUAUUACUGACACUGAGAGACGAAAGCUAGGGUAGCAAAUGGG
rnacentral:rRNA from 1 species